rnacentral:lncRNA from 1 species
ACAGAAUCCGGGUUUUUUGGAAAAACCUUUUUACGGUGCCUUACAUCCUACCCCACUAAAGAUCAUUCAUCCUCGUAUGAGGAUCAGGGUCUACUAUUAGCACCUUAUGCAAUUCAGUUUUCAUACCCUACACCAGCAACCCCAAAUUAACUAACUCCCUAAAUUUCCAAAUAUUUCGCUAGAGUUUCCUUUGUAACUAGCCUAUCCACCUGUCAGAGAGCCCCAGAAACACAUCUUACAAACAUGUACAGAAUCCAACGAUGUAACAUAACUCAUAACAAUACCAACCUUGGCCUCGUGUAAACAACAUAUAAUCAAAGGGAACACCUUUACAUUAACUGAACAAGUGAUAAAAAAUUCACAGGCGACAAUUCCAUAAAAAGGAUGAAUUACACCGCUAUUCAAACAACUAAGGAUACUUCUUCUUCAUUUCUUCCCCAGCCUCCCACAUGGCCUCUUCAACCCGUUGGUUUCUCCAUAACUUCUACUAUUAUAACCUCUACGCCUACUUUGGCAUCACGGAAUCCUAGUUUUUAGUAAAAAAAAUUAACAAGGCCUUACAUCCUCCCCCUCUUAAGAUCAUUCGUCGUCGAAUGAGGAUCAAGAUCUAAUAUUAGCACCUUAUGCAACUCAGUAUUCAUACCCUACUCCAGCAACCCCAAAUUAACUAAAUCCCUAAAUUUUCAAAAAUUUCGCUAGAGUUUCCUUUGUAAGUAGGCCUAUCGACCUGUCAGAGAGCCCCAGAAACACAUCUUACAAACAUGUACAGAAUCCAACGAUGUAACAUAACUCAUAAC